rnacentral:misc_RNA from 1 species
AGAAGCAUUGCAGGCUUGGCAAAGGUUAACACAUCUGCAUGCUCACCAUUUUGUUUUCUCAUUUGUAGUGUUUCAUCUCUAUUGCAUAACUUAGUAAUGUGAUGUCGUCUUUGAGUGAGGAAUUUACAUAUGCCUUUUAUUAAUUUCUUGUUAUCAGUUUUUCUCUAGUACUCUACGAUACCCAAAAUGAAUUCUAAAAAGUUGACCCAUCUGAUGGCCUGUUUUAGACCAAUCUGACCUGAACUGCACUUAUUGGCACCUAUAUGUAGUCGAGUUCAAUAACUGUUUUUAAGCAACCUGAAAGAUGGCAAGCUGGUGUACUUUUCUCUGUUCUAAUUUUAUGGUGCAAAUAAAUAUCCUGUUGUAAUUUAUUCACAAGCAUGGUUAUUACAGUGAUUUUUUACCAGUAAUAUUUCAGAUUGUGUGAAUUGUUUUCAUAAAUUUAUUUAUUUCUCAGGGUUUUCUUUAUUGCUUAUAGUACUCUGGAUGGUUUUCCUACUAAUAUGUGAUUAUGCCCUGCUUUAUUUUCUUUUCCAGUGCACGACAAAGAAAAGCGGAGUUGAUAUUGAAGAAUUAAUUGGUUAUAGAAUAAAGGUUUGGUGGCCCAUG